rfam:Glycine soja cultivar W05 scaffold299_36, whole genome shotgun sequence.
GUUGAGGGGAAUGUCAUCUGGUUCGAGAUCAUUCAUUUAUUCAAUUAGUCUCAAACACGAAAAUGCGGACCCAGUUCUUUUGUGUGAUUUCGGACCAGGCUUCAUUCCCCUGAGC